rnacentral:lncRNA from 1 species
CACCAACAAAAGACAAUUCUCUUAGCUCUAGAGAGGAGAGAAAAUGAUCUCCACUCCCAGUAAUAUUUCUCUCUUAGUUUUAGCCUCUAAGGUAUCACCUUGCCCUAGGAUUAGGGGGCUACUAAGAACUACGACGGUUUGAUCUCUGUGCAUUGGCACAAGGUACAUAGGCAAUCUAAUGGAGCUAGAUGCAACCGAAUCCUCCCUUGGAUGACGCUCUACUUCGUGGUUCAUGCAAUGAUUCGUAGGAACGAGACGGUUAUCUAGAAUUCGUUAAUUCUGCAAGGUAUGUCCUAUAUCGAAUUCCUUAUAUUAUUACUAUAAAUUCCCAACAGAUUGUUUUGGGUUCACUUGGAUCCACAUGAAAUUAUUUUUAUUAUUUUUAUUUCUCUCUCUGGAUGAUCUCUACCUCAUCGACUCCUCUCCUCAACUCUUCCACUCUCGGUCACACACACGAUCAACACCUCUCAAUAUUCUCGAGGAAUCGAACCACAUAACCACUAUUAUCUUCUUCUCCUCAUCACCACGAACCCAAUCUUGGGUUUUGAUUAGUGAAAGAUGAAGCACAAAUGUCGAAUCGUGGAGCUCCGAUGCAGAGUGGGGUUUUCGGUGAUUUUCUUGCCAAUUCCGGCCAAGGUAAGGCCUCUAACCCAAUUAAACUAAAUUAAACAGAACAAUUCCUCACAAUUAAACUGAAGCAUAAAACCUCAAUUUAAACCCCUAAUGGGUGAUUAGGACAAUCAAUAUUCAGUUAUAUUUUGGGUUCAUAACAAUGUUCCCCCAUUGAAAAUUAGCCUUGUCCUCAAGGCUUAAAAAACGAAAUGUGGGAACUUGUUUGAACGAGCAGCACUUGGGCAUGUCUUCAAUGAAUGAUAGCACCAAUUGGCAGCUAGGGUAUCAUACCUUCAGGCCUACCAUGGUGGAAGGCCACAAAGAAAUGUUCAAAACACCCUUAUGCUUGUAACAUUAGUUUGGCUUAGGGUUUUGGGUCUCAUCACUUAUUCACAUGCAUUUUAAUUUCUAAUCUCAUUAGAACUAUUUGGUCCUAUUACAACUAUUAGUCCAUGUAAUUAAUUUAGUAGCAUAUGAUACUCCUACUAUUUUUGUAAAACGGUUUUUAGAAGUAAGAGUAUAUGGUACUACUAAUGAAAGCUUUGGAUUCUUGAUGGACUUUAUAGUUUCCUUAGGGCCUUAGGAUGAUUUUGAAACUUCGAUUUGAUCCAACAUGAACCUAGUGUUUGGUAUCGGUGUUGGGAGGGUGAUUGAAUUUAAUUGCACCUUUAAUCAAAUUAAGUGUGUUUCCCUAAUGGGGGUGGGACCUAACUACUCCAAUUUCCAUGCAUAUCAAACAAGACAUAAAGGAGUACAUAAAGUAAAGAAGGACUUGUACCAUUUUACAACAUAUUUGAUCUAAUCAAAUUACAACCAAAAUCAAAUCUACACAUUCCCAUGGUUCAAACAAACUUGAUAGACGGUCAAUAACAUAACUCAAUCAUCGUAGGCUUAGAUUCAUAAUCCCCAUUUCUAUAAUUAACCAAUCACAUUAAUCAAUUAAACUAGAAUGACACAGAUCAAUUGGUUUUUGGACUCAUGGAUUUAAUCUUAAAGGAACUAAGUAUAAGAACAAAUUCUCAUCAAAUGAGAAACAAUUUGUCCCUCAUCAAAGGAGAAUCAAAUUCUUAAUAAGCACAAGAUAUCUGAUGAUGUCUCGGAUCUUAAAACUAUUUUUAUACAACCCGAAGCUUUGUAAUGUUCGACAUGUGGUAAGAAUUCAUACGUUUAAGCUUCUUAGGUGGUCAGUGUAUAGGGAACUUAUUCAACAGACAAGCACUUGUAUACACAUAGCACGAGACCAUGCUUUCCGUUAUUGGGGCAGGAAUUAUAUUUUUUCAAUUUUAAAAAUUUGAAAUAUUAUUUAAAGGGUAAUUUUGUUGAUUACUGUGGCCCCAUGUGAUUGUUGUUGUAGAUGUCACACAUGUGCCGCCCCAGCACACUAUAACAGAACUUAAAACAAAGGGUUUGUGUUUAGUUGUAAUAUUAGUUGCAAGUAAUUCUAAGACGCUAACUACGGGCCUACAUAUAUAUACCCUUCAUAAUAAUUAAGUUAUAUAUAAAAGAAGCAUUAGUAUAAACUGUGAUUGGGGACCGGAAAGCCUAUGAAAUAUACCUGUCUUCUAAGGUGUGGAUCGAGCUUUGCAAAUCGCGCGUACGGACCGAAUGUAGACUAUUGGAUGAAAUCUGAACAGGUGAAUACCAAUCUAUCAAAAUAAGCAUACCAUGAAACCAAAAUAAGCAUAACGUGAAACUAGGUCAUAAAUGAUCCAUCACUAAUUGAAAUGGUAUCCAGUAUCAAUUCAAUUUUUUUGAAAUUUAAAUCGCGCGUACGGACCGAAUGUAGACUAUUGGAUGAAAUCUGAACAGGUGAAUACCAAUCUAUCAAAAUAAGCAUACCGUGAAACCAAAAUAAGCAUAACGUGAAACUAGGUCAUAAAUGAUCCAUCACUAAUUGAAAUGGUAUCCGGUAUCAAUUCAAUUUUUUUGAAAUUUAAAAUGUCCCUCCCCCUCCCCACCCCCCCCCCCACUCCAAAAAAAAAAAAAAAAAAAAAAAGCACUGUCUCCCUCCCCCCCCCCCCCGCGCGCGCGGGGGAACAUCAACACUUACCAUCAUAAAUUUGCCUUAUCCUCCUAAAACUCUCCAUUUUCCGCCAACCCACAAACAUCCUUCCCAUCGAAAAGUUGCUUACCAUUUGAAAAUUUCGUUGUCAUUCUAAGCCUAGUCGUAGUUGUGUUGUGCUUGUUGUCUCUGACCUCACUGCACUUUCACACAAAAGUUCAGAAAUUCAGGCAAGUUUGGUUCAAGGGUGAGUAUCGGUUCCACAGAAACUACGUGGUUUGAGUUGGGUUCAUAGUUGUUUCUUCCCCAAUUGUCGAGGUCAUACUUCAUUCCUCAAACUAAAUUUGAAAUUUGGUGAGCUUGGAAAUAUGGAACCCUUGAAAUAAAUUUGGUUAUUUAUGUUAGUUUGAUUAAUUUGAUUAAUUUGAUUAAUUAUGCAAUUCGGUUGAUGAAAUUAGUUGAAAUUGGUGGAUAUUUGGGGAAUUUUUGGGAAAUUUCAGUGGGAUGUGGGUUUAUGAAAUGUUGUUGACAGGUUGUCUAUAAGGGAUAGGUUUGCUAGCUUUGUUUUGUUGAAGUUAUAUUGUUGAGUUAGGAAUGAUUUGUGUUGAUGAAAUCUUUUAUAAUUUUAUGAAUUAAGUUGAUAUUACUUAAGUCAUGAAGGCUUGUUCACUGUAGAUAUAUUGUUAUGAAAACUUGUUGACAGGUUGUGUUAAUGUUAUACAUUGUUUAAUUUCAUUGUUAUCAGGGUACAUAUCAUUCCCGCUCACAGCGCACUCUUGUAUUUAGGCACUUUUAGGUUUAAAUUUAUUCACAUUUUCCACUACACUACACUUUAUGGCUUCGUCACCUUCCAAGUGUCGACCAGCAUAGCUCGAUUCGAAGUCUAAGUGGACAUUCUGGGUCGGGGUGUGUCAGUUAAGGUGACAGCGAAACCCUAGUGCUUAAAUAGAUUUUCAAACUAUUUUCUUUUGUUUUCUUUACUUUCCCAAUUUAUUUAAUUGGUAUUCAUUUUUAAUAUUUUAGAUCAUUAAAUCACCUUUUUCUAAACUUUGUUUUCAAAUAAUUAAUUAAGAAUUGAUUUUAACCCUAUGGAAAACGACAUUGCUUGAGUUGCUAUACUAUGAUAACAUUGUACUCUUGCAAGUAUUUUUAAGUAUUUUUAUCCCUACUUCUGCAGGUGGUAAAAUCUGUAAGAUCCCACAUUGCCCAGGGGUGAGGAUCCUGUAAGCCUUAUAUGUAUAUUCUCAUCUCUACCUAGCACGAGGCCUUUUGGGAGCUCACUAGCUUCGAGUUCCAUCGGAAAUCCAACUUUAAGCAAGUUCGCACGAAAGCAAUCCCAUGAUGGGUGACCUACUGGGAAGUUCUCGUGUAAAUUCUUAGAAACAAAACUGUGAGGGCGUGGUCGAGGCACAAAGCGGACAAUAUCGUGCUACGGCGGAAUCGAGCCUGGGAUGUGGUGGGGGCCCGAGGCGGGAUGUGACAAUUUAAUUAUUAGAUCCCACAUCGCCCAGGGGAGUGGAUCUUGUAUGUCUUAUAUGUAUAUUCCUAUCUCUACCUAGCAUGAGGCCUUUUGGGAGCUCACUGGCUUCGAGUUCUAUCGAAACUCCGAAGUUAAGCGAGUUCGCGCGAGAGCAACCACUGGGAAGUUCUCGUGUGAGUUCCUAGAAACAAAACUGUGCGGGCGUGGUCAGGGCACAAAGCGGAUAAUAUCGUGCGACGACGGAGUCGAGCCCGGGAUGUGGUGGGGGCCCGUGCCCGGAUGUGACAAUUUAAUUGUUAGAUCCCACAUCGUCCAGGGGAGUAGAUCCUGUAAGCCUUAUAUGUAUAUUCUCAUCUCUUCCUAGCAUGAGGCAUUUUGGAAGUUCACUGGCUUCAGGUUCCAUCGGAACUCUGAAGUUAAGCGAGUUCGCUCGAGAGCAAUCCCAAGAUGGGUGAUCCACUUGGAAGUUCUUGUAUGAGUUCCCAGAAAUAAAACCGUGAGGCCGUGGUCGGGGCCCAAAGAGGACAAUAUUGUGCUACACUGGAGUCGAGUCCGGGAUGUGGUGGGGGCUUGGGCCGGGAUGUGACAAAAUCCCUAUCAAGACAUUGGCCUUUGCCAGUGAUUGUUUUAAAUAAUUUGUGUUUAUCAACUCUUAGUUAAUUAUUUUUGUAUAUAUCUUUUUAUUUACUUGAUUUUAAUUUUUUUUUUAGCUUACAAUUUGUUGAUUUUGAAAGCAGUGUAACUAUUUCAUUUGCAACAAUGGGAUAUUUUGGAUUUCCACCAACAAUUUGUGCUCUUUCCAAUUUAAAUACCCAUGAUAUUCUGUAUUGUCCUCAAAGGCAGUAUUUUCCAGAAUUUGUGCAGGACCAUAUUAAUAUGAGAAUCAAUUUUCAAAGGCCUAGGUGCGAUUUCAGAGACCUUAGUUGACCAUCAGUUAGAGACACGUGGGACUUAUUCUUUUAGUAUGUCCUUGUAGUACUCAUCUUUACAAACGCAUAGGCGAAAGCAGUUUGCGAGUUCGAACUAUAACGGUAUAGUUACGGACGUUUGAAACUAGUUAAUUAUAUUUUAGAUUAUAAGUGUUAACUCCCACUUUGUGGGAAGGGGAACCAAUCAUAAAAUUUGGAGAUUUGAAGCAUCCAAUUAGGAAGAGAGAGGGAAGCUCUCAGCCUCCCUCCCAUUUUUUCUUCCCAUGUGGCCUUCGAACAACCAAAAACCCGGUUUUGACCCGGGUGGUUUCUGGCAAUUCUCACCCGUUUUUUAGGUGAUUUUCACCCAUUCACCACCAUCAAACCUUAUCACCAUAUCCCAACAUUCAAUUCUAACCAAAAUUUGCAUGAAAUGGUAGAAAUUUCACGAAGAACACCCAUGGGUGCUCGGGAAACUUACUCGAAAUCCACCCAUUUUUGAAACAUUUUCCUUCAAUUACCACUACCAAAACACUCCUCUAGAACCCAGGAACAAAGCCCAAGCAGUGGUGGAGGCGUCGAAGCAAGUUUGGAGGUUGAAUCGAAUCACACCUAAUUCUAGGGUUUUGUACGGUUUUAGCAAAAUUGAAGCCUUUCUAGGCCAAAUUGGACUUGGCCACAAUUAUAAAGUUUACUCUACUCUUUGAGAUCUUCAAUUCUGUGGGCCAAUGAUGUUUUUGUUUAAGUACUAUUAGAUGCCCUGGGUUUAUAUUUCAUAUCCGUAUGAUGUAAUUUCAUUAUUUGGACUUAGUUUCAUUUCGACAUGUGUAUAGGUCAAAAUAUGAAUCGACGAUCCAACCGUUGGAUCAUCAACAAACUUUAAUAUGUUAUAGUACGUAAUAUUUGAGGAUCAUAGGAACGUACGGAUUGGGAGUCCAACGUACGGAUCUUUCCAAAUUGGAAUUGUAAGUUUAUAAAAUAAAAAGUUAAUCGCCACUUGAAAUUGAAAUUGGCGGAGAUCCAACCGUUGGAUCGUAAUGAAAUUUUAGUAUGUUGUUCUAGAAGCAUAAUGUGGAUCCUUGGAAAUUUCGGAUUGGAAAUCUGGGAUGAUGAUCUUCCAGAUCAAAUCAUAGGGGUGUGUUCUAUAUAAAUUAUGUAUUCUAUUGAUAAGGAUCUUGAGUCAUGGUUUGAUAAUUGUUCUAGGCACCGAUUGUUCGUGACGCCUCAACCUUCGUGCUAUGGAUUUACAAGUUUUAGCGAGGACUCCAAGUGAGUGGGUUUUUGGUUUUCUAUACAAGUAUAUAUGCUUUAUGUUUUAGAAUAUGCAUCUAGUGAUUGCUUAUGUUAUUGUUGAUACUGUGAACUACGAAUGGCUUGAUCCCUGUUUAGGGUACGUAGGCAGUCUAACGAGACGUUAGAUGCAGUCAUACAAUAAAUGAGACUAAAUAAUUGAGACAAUAGCCUUGUUUGGGGAAUUGAGCAAUGUAAAGGAGAUUGGUGGAAAAUGUGAGAUUAAACCUAAUGUUUUAGUGGUUAAAUGUUAAUUAUAAAUCAAUGUGUGAAGAAUCGUAACAUUGAAGUGAAAAAUAGUUAGUAAUGAUAGUUAAUUAAGUUAGUGUUUAGUUGGGCUUAUUAACAACAACAACAACAAAGCCUUUUCCCACUAAGUGGGGUCGGCUAAUUAUUUCUGAAGAUAAUUAUUUCUGAAGGUAGUUAGUAAUGAUAGUUAAUUAUGCAUUUUAUGCCAUUUGUAUAUAUGUUAUAUGUUUGGAAAUAUCAUGAUAUGGUCAAAUUUCAUAUUUACAUCCUGGUAUAUUCACGUGUAUGUUACUUGCACAUAAUUAAGGGUGAACGCUCUGAAAUGCAAAGGUGAAUUCAAGACACCCCGGUAAGUUCAGGUGAGUUAUGGUAUUAGUUGAAAUGAUUGAGUUAUGACAUGACUACAUUUAUGUUUUAGGCAACUCCGAUAUUGUAGAACAGGUUGCCUGUGAGUUGUAUAUGUCAUAUGAGAUUGCUUUAGUUAUACGAGAUGUGUGAUGAGAUGUAUUUAGAGCUCAUAAACUUGCACCCUGGUGUUAGUGCUCCCGCCCGUGGCCAAGGCACAGUCCUUCACGUGAUGUUCACCUCCCGCACCUUACGCUCACCUUGGAUCCAAGGUAGGUGCACAGUCUUGUCGUACAGAUCACUAUAGAUGGUUCCGACUCAAAGGGGACCUGUGAUUAUUCGCACAGUCUUCAUGUGAUCCUAGCACUUAAGCGUAUUUAUUUACGCCCAGUCCUAUCGUACAGACCACUUUAGGUGGUUCCAACUAGUGUGUAGGUAUACUUAUUGAGCUAUGGAUAAGUCGUACAGGUCAUUAAAGGUGACUCCGACUUAUGAGUUAUCAUAUAUUUAUGAUGAGAUAUGUGAUGAGAUGCUAGCAUAUAUGUGAUGAUAUAUGUAAUGAGAUGCUAGCAUGUAUGAUGAGAUAUGUUACGAACUAACAUAUAUGAUGAGAUAUUAGCAUAUAUUUAUGAUGAGAUAUGUGAUGAGAUGCUAGCAUAUAUGUGAUGAUUUUGAUGAGAUAUGUGAUGAGAUGCUAGCAUAUAUGGGAUGAGAUAUUGAUUCAACCGUACAUGAUAGGUGGAUCCGGCUAACAUGCCAUUUCCUAUUGGCUUAUUUCACCUGGGUUACUCAUUCCUGUUAAGAUAUUUGACGUAGCAUAACCGUAAGACUAUUAUUUUGGUUAUGGUUUUGAUUUAUAGUCAAGCCUGUUAUUUUCUGGGAAAUUAAACAGGUAUUACGGUGAGGGGCUACUAUCUUUGGUAGUUGGAAUUGGUUUGAAGAGUUUUAUUUCACUUACUCACAUUUUCUGUUUUUGUACCCCUCCAAGUUCUAGCAGCAGAGUUCCGUAUCGACGAAGAUUCGUGGCAUUUUUCAGCAUAAAUGUCUUUUAUGAUGGUAUAAUCAUUAUCUCACCUUACUGUACUACACCUAUGCUCUGUAUCGCAUGUGAAAUGGGUCCAGAUUCGCUCACUGCGCACUCGUGUACUUAGGCACUUUUAGAUUUUAAUUUAUUCACAUUUUAUAUAUCACCACACUUUAUAGCUUCAUCACCUUCCAGGUGUCGGCCAGCACAGCUCGAUUCGGAGUCCUAGUGGACAUUCCGGGUCGGGAUGUGUCACUCAACCUUAAAGAGCAACUCCCUUCAUUUUGCAUAUCCUUUGACAUUUGGUAUUUUGUAGUAAUGUACUAAUGUUUUUCAUUAGGCUCUUAUUUUGGCGUAUGUAAUACUUAAAAGAAAAAAAAAAAAAAAAAAAUAUAUAUAUAUAUAUAUAUAGUUUAUGUUUUGAAGUAAUAUUUAUGUGGCAAUGUGGUAUGCAUAUACUAAUUUAGAAUUAUGUUUUCCAUUUUUUUAGUCAAAUUAUGUUUUUCAUUUCCAGUAUUUAUUGAUUUAAAACAUAUUUUCUUUAACAAGUAACAAGUCGGGUCAUAUUACCUAAUAAUAUUAACGGGUCGAUUUGGGGUCGGGUCAUAUUACUCGUUUACUUUAAUAGAUGUCACACAACACGACCCGUUAAGAUAUUGUAUAUAUCACAAAAAUGACACAACACGAAUGCUAGGUCUAAGUGGAACUUUAGCAACAAGGUGCUCUAGUGAUCUCUACCAAGAAAUCUCCAAAGAGUAAGAAGUAUCCAUGCUCAAUCAUUUGCCCAACACUAAGCAAAUUUUCAUUUAGACCUGGUACAAGCAUGACUUCUUUAAUGUACCUUGGUCCAAACUUAGUGGCAAUCACUAAAGUGUCUUUACCAGUGGCCUGAACCAAUUCUCAUGUUCCCAUUUUUACCUUUGCAGUGACAUUUGUAUCAACAUUAAUAAGAAGGGACUCAUGUGAGGUCAUGUGGUUGCUACAAGCACUACCUAAAUACCACACAUCAUUGUUCUUUACACUAAGACAGCAUGGCAUGCAUAAAACAUUGUUGCUUCUUCCUCCAUAUGAUUUGCAUAGUUGGUUGUCUGAAGUGUCUUGCCUCUGCAAUCCUUUGCUAAGGGACCAAAUCUGUCACAUUUGUGGCACUUUGGCUUGCCUUUGGACCAACAAGGACCAUAGUGGAGCUUAUCACAUAUCUUGCAAGGACCCUUUGUUCCUUCAUUGUGAUUUUCCUUCUUGAAAUUGUUUCCAGACUUCACAUCCCAUUUCUUCCACUUUUGUGGUUUCUAAUUCUUCUUGAACUUGGAGUUUCCACCAUGACAUGUGUUUGUUUGCUCUCUGGGAUUCACACUUAGGCUAGAUAAGUCCUUUUCUGUAAGUUUCUUAGUAUGCCUUUGCAAUCGUUGUUCAUGGGAUUUCAAAGAGCCAAUGACCUCUUGAACUCCUAUAGUCUCUGUAUCCUUUAUUUCUUCUAUCACCUCUGCAAUGGAAUCAUAUUCUCUAGACAAACUAUUCAAAAGUUUUUGUACAACUCUUUGAUUAGUGAUUUCUUCUCCGUAGGAUUUCAUUUGAUUUACUAGCUCAAGCAAUUUUGUUAUAUACCCAGACAAGGAUUCAUCAUCUUGCAUACGUGUAUAUUCAAUUCCCUUCUAAGUGCUUGCAAUUUUACAGAUCAUAUCUUCUUAUCUCCUCGAAAUUCUUGUUGCAAAAUCUCCCAAGCAUCCUUGUAGUGCGAUUCUGGGAAAAAUAUCAUCGGAAGCUGCAUUUUGAAUCAGUCCCAACACCUUAGCAUCUUUAGCGACACUCUCCUCCAGUGCGAGCUUCUGAGCUGCAGUAAGAGCACCACCUUCCUCCUUCACUGGUUUUUCGUAGCCAUGUUCAACCAUAUCCCAGAACUUGUGCAAUUUAAAAAUCGUGCACAUCUUGAUUCUCUAGAAAUCAUAGUUGCUUCCAUUGAAAAUGGGAGCACGUAGCUUACUCAUUCCAAAUCCAGGCAUAAUAAGACUAAAUCCACGAGAUAGAGGUUAUCUUCGUUGGACUUCCUCGAUUUCGUUCUGAUAAAUACCAUGUUGAAGUUCGAAUCAGAGCUUAUAUUUCUUCCUAAAUCUUGCUACCACAAAAGAAGAAACUGAGAAGAAACAAGAAUUGCAGAAUGAAGCUCUUAGGGGAAAGUUUGUUACGGCUGCAAUAGACAUGACAGUGCACUCACACAUUCAUUCCAACGGAAACAUUCUUUUUUCAUUAUAGUCAGCAAUAUGAGCAUGACACUCGUCAUCUAUCAGAGACACAAGACCCUACACUUGUCCAACCUAAUUCAAAACAAACCCUAGCUGUUAAGGAAUAAAUUCAACCAGUGAAGAAUUUACAUUUCAACAUGGACAGCAAUUUGUUGGGCAACAGGUUUGGGUUUUAUGGUCUCUCAAGUCUUUCAAGCCAAACAAAUGCAGUAACAUUCAACAUUCAAAUGUUGUCCUCUUGUUCCUCUUAACAUGAGAACCUUCACUUCGUCUCAGUUCAAAAGCAAUAACACCCAUUUCCAAUUUUUGGUGUUGUUGUUGUUGUUGUGGUUGGUUGAUCCAAAACUUCCUUGAGCAUUACAAUUGCACAAAUCUGCCCUGCUCCCGCAUGAAUAUGUAGAAAUAAAAACCAAACGUCGGGUAAAUUUCAAAAGCUCCACCGGUCUAACUGCACUUUAGCUUCAGCCAUGUCUUUCUGUGCCUUCUUUCUCCUAUAGAAUAUAGGGCAGUCCCGACUGGAAGAAUACAAACUAAGAGUUACAUACAAAGCAAGCAUGCAUCCGUGCAUUUGGAGUUUUGCAAUGUACAUAUUCCAACUCCAAAUGCAUGAAUAUGUUCCCAAAAUACCCACAGGACAAGAUAACAAUAUAUACUAACGUACAAAAAUCACUCAAACUCAGUCAACUACAAUACCUUGUGCAGAGCACAUCUUGAUGCAGAGAGCCUUGGCACUCUUGGCACUGUGUCCAUAACCGCCCAAAAAGCGUCUCUAGCUCAGACACUGCAACAUUCCACAAAGUUGAGCACUUUGGUCCAAAUAUAAAUGAAUGAAAAACAAAAAUUUAGCAUAAAAUACAUUUAUGAUAUUGAUUCAUACCAUGAGCCACUGUUUUGCAAUAGAGUUCAGCUUCUCUUCCCUUACAGUGUGAGCAAAGAGUAUGGUCCGACUUGCUAAGAAUAACAAAAUAUUAAUAAGCUUUUCAAAUUCACCCCUCUAAAACCUCAAAGAUGCUAGAAAGAGUCUUUGAUUGCUUAGAGUUAUGUUCUUCUGUAUACUAUAAAAAGUUUCAGAGAUUAUGGACCUCUCAAGUUUCAGAGUUAUGCCAAAGAUGCGUACUUCAUCCUUAAACGGUAAUCUUAACCUCUCAUCAUAACAUUUUUCGCAAAUAGGGUAGGACUAUCCAAAGUCCCCUAAAGGUUGACCCAUAAGAUUUUGACAAGAUGUUUGUGAGACUUCAUGUCCUACAAAUGGAUCAAAACCUACCACUAAAAUUGCAAACGUGAUAACCUGCUGUGUGCUUUGGUACUUACUAGUCAUCAUAGAGGUCCUUUUUGUGUCCAACGCUUAGGUGGGUAAAUUCAAACCGUAUGAUGAUAAACAACACUUUUAAGUUCAGUUCAGUUCCGUUUAUAUACUGAUCAGGCCUACCAAGAAAAGCACUCAUUUAAAGUACAAUAAAGUCAGUAUAUACUUGUACCUAAGUAGAGCUUUGCAGCCAACGCAUGUGAGUUGUUUCUUUGCAAAUCUCAUUAUUCCACUGUUUGCAGGGGUGGAGAUUGAAAUAGAUCUUGUGUGGCUUCCAUGGAGAAGUUCCUUGCUAGCAUUCUUCAAGAUGGG